rnacentral:misc_RNA from 1 species
GAUGAAGAACGCAGCGAAAUGCGAUAAGUAGUGUGAAUUGCAGAAUUCAGUGAAUCAUCGAAUCUUUGAACGCACAUUGCGCCCCUUGGUAUCCCGAGGGGCAUGCCUGUUCGAGCGUCAUUUCACCACUCAAGCCUGGCUUGGUGUUGGGCGACGUCCCCUUUGGGGACGCGCCUCGAAACGCUCGGCGGCGUGGCACCGGCUUUAAGCGUAGCAGAAUCUUUCGCUUUGGAAGUCGGGGCCCCGUCUGCCGGAAGACCUACUCGCAAGGUUGACCUCGGAUCAAGCAGGGAUACCCGCUGAACUUAAGCAUAUCAAUAAGCGGAGGA